CAGUCGACGAGCUCUCCCAAAUUGAUUUUAUGCUUGCAUAAAUGAUUUUUGGAUUCGGAGCGAGUGGCGAACUGGUGAGUAACACGUGGGUAACCUGCCCCGAAGCGGGGGAUAACAUUUGGAAACAAGUGCUAAUACCGCAUAAUUAGUUGGAACCGCAUGGUUCCAACUUGAAAGAUGGCUCUGCUAUCACUUUGGGAUGGACCCGCGCCGUAUUAGUUAGUUGGUGAGAUAAAAGCCCACCAAGACGAUGAUACGUAGCCGACCUGAGAGGGUAAUCGGCCACAUUGGGACUGAGACACGGCCCAGACUCCUACGGGAGGCAGCAGUAGGGAAUCUUCCACAAUGGACGAAAGUCUGAUGGAGCAACGCCGCGUGAGUGAUGAAGGUUUUCGGAUCGUAAAACUCUGUUGUUAAAGAAGAACAAGUGUUAGAGUAACUGUUAACACUUUGACGGUAUUUAACCAGAAAGCCACGGCUAACUACGUGCCAGCAGCCGCGGUAAUACGUAGGUGGCAAGCGUUGUCCGGAUUUAUUGGGCGUAAAGCGAGCGCAGGCGGUUUUGUAAGUCUGCUGUGAAAGCCCUCAGCUCAACUGAGGAAGUGCAGUGGAAACUACAAAACUUGAGUACAGAAGAGGAAAGUGGAACUCCAUGUGUAGCGGUGAAAUGCGUAGAUAUAUGGAAGAACACCAGUGGCGAAGGCGGCUUUCUGGUCUGUUACUGACGCUGAGGCUCGAAAGCAUGGGUAGCGAACAGGAUUAGAUACCCUGGUAGUCCAUGCCGUAAACGAUGAAUACUAGGUGUUGGAGGGUUUCCGCCCUUCAGUGCCGCAGCUAACGCAUUAAGUAUUCCGCCUGGGGAGUACGACCGCAAGGUUGAAACUCAAAGGAAUUGACGGGGGCCCGCACAAGUGGUGGAGCAUGUGGUUUAAUUCGAUGCUACGCGAAGAACCUUACCAGCUCUUGACAUCUUCUGCCAACCCAAGAGAUUGGGCGUUCCCUUCGGGGACAGAAUGACAGU
rnacentral:rRNA from 2 species